UUUCCGUAGGUGAACCUGCGGAAGGAUCAUUAAUGUGUUUGGGCCUCUCGGCUCUUCAUUCCGACGCUGUGCGCCUUCGGGCUGCACGCUGAGGGUGCAUAUAUCCCCCCCUGUGCAAACACACGGUGGCGAGCUGGAUAACGGCUCGCCGCCGAUCUUUACACACGUCUAAAAUUCAUUGUAUGUCUAUUUGAGAUAAAAACACAACUUUCAGCAACGGAUCUCUUGGCUCUC
rnacentral:misc_RNA from 1 species